GUGGGUGGAAGCUCAUUGUAGAGGUCACAUGCUGAGUGCUCAUCACUCUACCAAUCACCUCGGGGAAGGUCUGAGACAAGAGCCACUAGCUACCCUCGCUGGGUAUCACCUGAUUCAGGUGAGCAGAUGAACAGUAAUAUGGAUUGCUAUGAGCAGUUGUUGCAGGAGAAACCGUGCGGUGGAUGUGACGCUCAAUAGCUUGGAAUCAAAUGCGGCUGGCCAAUGAGUGCGAUGUAUGAGGUGGGGCACAGCUCCAGAACCCAAUUCAGACUACUCUCCCCCCAC
rnacentral:RNase_P_RNA from 1 species